GUGGGGAAUAUUGCACAAUGGGGGGAACCCUGAUGCAGCGACGCCGCGUGAGUGACGAAGUAUCUCGGUAUGUAAAGCUCUGUCAGCAGGGAAGAAGAAUGACGGUACCUGAAGAAGAAGCACCGGCUAAAUACGUGCCAGCAGCCGCGGUAAUACGUAUGGUGCAAGCGUUAUCCGGAUUUACUGGGUGUAAAGGGAGCGCAGGCGGCGCGGCAAGUCCGGUGUGAAAGCCCGGGGCUCAACCCCGGUACUGCACUGGAAACUGUCGUGCUUGAGUGUCGGAGGGGCAGGCGGAAUUCCUGGUGUAGCGGUGAAAUGCGUAGAUAUCAGGAGGAACACCGGUGGCGAAGGCGGCCUGCUGGACGACAACUGACGCUGAGGCUCGAAAGCGUGGGGAGCAAACAGG
rnacentral:rRNA from 1 species